rnacentral:lncRNA from 1 species
AUGCCCAGGGUUAGCAUCCACGCCCGGGGUCAGCGUGCACGUCCGGGGUCAGCGUCCACACCCGGGGUCAGAGUCCACGCCCAGGGUCAGCGUGCACGUCCAGGGUCAGCGUGCACGCCCGGGGUCAGCGUCCACGCCUGGGGUCAGCGUGCACGUCCGGGGUCAGCGUCCACGCCUGGGGUCAGCGUGCACGUCCGGGGUCAGUGUGCACACCCGGGGUCAGCGUCCACACCCGGGGUCAGCGUGCACAUCCAGAGUCAGCAUCCACGCCACGCCCAGGGUCAGUGUGCACGCCCGGGGUCAGCAUCCACGCCUGGGGUCAGCGUCCACGCCCAGGGUCAGUGUCCACACCUGGGGUCAGCGUGCACGUCCAAGAUCAGCGUCCACGCCCAGGGUCAGCGUGCACAUCCAGAGUCAGCAUCCACGCCAGGGGUCAGCGUCCAUGCCCGGGGUCAGUGUGCACAUCCGGGGUCAGCAUCCACGCCCAGGAUCAGCGUCCACGCCCGGGGUCAGCGUGCACGUCCGGGCAUGCAGGCAGGCUUGUGCUGUCUUCUUCUAAAGACGUAUUUGUUUAUUUAUUUGAAAGGCAGAGUCAGAGAGAAUGAGAAUCUUCCAUCUGCUGGUUCACUCCCCAGAUGCUGCAAUGGCCAGGGCUGGGCCAGGUCAAGGCCAGGAGCCGGGAGCUUCUUCUGGGUCUCCCACAUGGGCACAGGGGCCCAAGGACGUGGGCCGUCUCCCACUGCUUUCCCAGGCCAGAGCGGAGCUGGAUCAGAAGAGGAGCAGCCGGGACUGGAGCAGCCUGUGCCGCAGGCGGUGGCUUCACCUGAGGAAAGGGUUCCGGCCCCCACCUGGGGUAGAGUUCAGGAGAGGCGGAGGCUGCACUGGGUUCUCAGUAGGGAGACCCCAAACUGUGGCGCUCGCCACGCACAGCCCAAGCACACGAGGUCAGCACUCGGCUUUUCCUCGGGCGCUGUGCGGCCCGCACCCUGUCCCACGUCCCUCGCUCUGCCUCUCACUCCCUUGCUCUGGGCAACCCGCACUGCCUUCUGUGGGUGGCGGGGUCCAGGGGGUGGGGCAGUGGGGGGACAGUGUGGAGCUGGAAGCCUCGCCGGUCACACCCACCUUAGGGCUGCUCCUAAACUGUCCCAGGGAUGA